rnacentral:lncRNA from 1 species
UUCGAUUUUAAAUAGUUUUUUAUUAAUAUGUGCGGAUACAGGGUCGCGCUGACCUGCGAUGACGCAAACGCUCACAGAAAACCACCACCCCCUUUGGCCCAGAUAGACAGACAGCUGUCAAAGCAAUGACGUGAGAAAAGAAUCACACAUCAGUCCUCAAAUAAAAAAAGAACAAAACUGAAUCAAGGUUUUACAUCAACCUCUCUUUAGAAAGGAUUCAGCAGUACAGAAUAUAUUAAUGGAGAAAAACCCAUCAUAGUAAAAUCUAAGAGAAGUACUCUAAAUGGAGAUGUACACAUUAUCAUCACCCCAAUGGCACACGAUCAGUACUCAGUCCUAAAAGUUCCUACUGAUGAUGAACCUCCCAAACUGAGCCCUUCCAUCCAUACACCCAGCAACAGUUCUACCAGUUGUCACUCAUCUCUUACCAACACUUCUCUGCCUUAGACUGUCUACCUGUCUGGUCAUUCCUAAUGUCUAAUACUGUCUGGCUGGGUCUGACCAAUGAACAUACUGACCUGCUACUAACAGCAUCACAGCCCCUCCUACAGUAUAGAGCCCAGAGCACCUCAUGCAUAUUUCCCAGACCCUGCCCUUGUACACUUACAGCCAUGCAGAACACUCACCAAUAGACCUUGAUAGGUGACUGGCCACUUAGACCAGCAUCUCUAGCCUUCAGUGAGCCCCAACCUCGUGGGGAGUAUGUGUGUCCCAUGGAGCUGCUCACUAUAGAGAUGGUUCAUCAGUGUCCCAUAGCGUUAGUCAUCCACACAUGCAGAGUUUCAGACACAGUUCAGAUCAGAGUCACACAGUCAGAGGAGCCAGAGUACUGGGAUAUGUGUUCAGAAAUAUAAAAACAUGCCUACAAAAAUGAAUAGGUCAACGUCAGCCUGCUCCUAGCUCCUACAGUUACGUGGAUCGACUUUGAACAUGUAAACGGUAAAUCCCUUAUGAUCUUUUAUGAUCUCUAGCGCCACUUCACUGUACACCGUAGUUUAAACUACCUAACCUGACUGGACAUGUAUGUGUGUUACUAUGCGUGUUGUGUGUGUGUGUGUGUGUGUGUGUGUGUGUGUGUGUGUGUGUGUGUGUGUGUGUAGGUCUCUCCCUCUGUGGUCUCAGCCCAGUAAAUGAUUAGCCAGUGUUAUUAUCCUAAUCAGAGGUAACAUAGGGAUUUAGAUGGGGGUGAAACUCCCAUUGAGCAGGACUCUGGGUCCUACAGUGCUUUCUGCUGUAUAAUCACUAGCAUUACCACAAUACAGUACGACUCCACUGUUUAUUGAGAUAUCAAUCUGGUUUAAACAAAGCUUUAGACAAACAAAUUAACUCCAAACAAAACUCUGGGAUUAAUGCUGGGCUAAAAGAGAGCCCAUUGGUGGAAUAAGAUGGGAUGAAGUGAGAGAGGUGAGGGAAGAGAGAGAGAGAGAGAGAGAGAUGGUGAUGCAGGUUGUUCCCCUCCUGGUGAGUCUGUCCGUACACAGUGUCUGUCCCUGUGAGGUCACCAGCUAAAGGUAAACUUUGUAGAUCACAUCAAUAAAGGUGUAGGAGGUGAUGAUGAUAAUGAUGGCGGUCAGUGUAGGGCAUUAAUUCACUUUCCUUUAUUCCUUCUAAUCAAAAUACAUUCAAUUGUCCAUUGCUGACCGGUCAAUGCUCCUAUUGAAUUAACUAUGAGCCGCAAGGCCAAUGUUUAAUUAAUAUUUCCAGUAACAAGCAAAAGAAAAUGUGCAUAAUUAUCGGAUCCUUCUGUAAACACAAACAUACACAGCGGUCCAGUGGUAGGCAUAUAGUAACACUACCCAACCAGGCUGUUUCCAAUGUUAAACCAAGUCAGACACACCAGCACAGUAUUGCAGACAUGCCUCCUGAAGAAUAGCUGGGAUGCUGAUGACAGGGCCUCCUAUCUGAGUCUGAACUAAGAGAGAUUCCUCAACCAAGAAGAAAUGGAGGAAAAAACUAAUAUAUUCUUAAUUCUAUCCCGGCUCUCAAUCCUUCUCUUUCUCCCCCAAGAGCCACAACUAAACUCAAUGUGCCCUUUAGGACUCUUUAGGAAGAAGUGGGACACCCAGGCCCUAACCAAAUGUCACCCUGAAGUGGACGCUGGCGAAUCCAUCUACUUGCCUAAAUGUAUUGCACAUUUAAAUGGGCUUUCUUCAGCAUUCGCAUUGCACAGCUCAGCUAUGUACAGACAGAGAUCUUGAAAAAUAAAAAAUAAAGCAUGAAUAAAUGAACAUAGAAAUAAAUAUUCCAAAUACAUAAAUAAAUAUAGAGAUAAAUAUAGCAUUAGAAAAAUACAUACAUAAAGAGAAUGGCAAAACCUCUCAGCUUUUUAAGGUUGGACAGACUUUAGGGGGAAGGAACCUCAUGAAUACAUCUCUGGUUGGAUGGAUGGUUUCUCUCUGGAAUCGCUUUCAUACGGCAACGCAACAUUCUGACAGACUUUAGGGGGAAGGAACCUCAUGAAUACAUCUCUGGUUGGAUGGAUGGUUUCUCUCUGGAAUCGCUUUCAUACGGCAACUCUGCAAUC